UACGGGGGAGCAAGCGUUGUUCGGAUUUACUGGGCGUAAAGAGCGUGUAGGCGGCCAGGUAGGUCGGUUGUGAAAACUGGAGGCUCAACCUUCAGACGUCGACCGAAACCAUCUGGCUAGAGUCCGGGAGAGGAGAGUGGAAUUCCUGGUGUAGCGGUGAAAUGCGCAGAUAUCAGGAAGAACACCCGUGGCGAAAGCGGCUCUCUGGAACGGUACUGACGCUGAGACGCGAAAGCGUGGGGAGCGAACAGG
rnacentral:rRNA from 1 species